GGCCAGCUGGCCUAAUGGUAAGGCGCUAGAUUUCGGUUCACUCAUCAUGAUACCCUCUAGAGAUUGCAGGUUCGAAUCCUGCGUUGGUCG